AGCGCCCAGUUCCCGCCGCCGGCGCGUGAGGCUGGGUCGCGUGCUCGUGGGGCUCCGCGUGGGCGGGCGCGCUGCGCGGCCGUUGCUGCUGAGGGGGGCGCGCGGCGCGGCCGUUACUGCUGAGGGGCGGCUCUCGGCGCGGCCGUUGCUGCUGAGGGGGGCGCGCGGCGCGGCCGUUGCUGCUGAGGGGGGCGCGCGGCGCGGCCGUUGCUGCUGAGGGGGGCGCGCGGCGCGGCCGUUGGCGCUGAGGGGAGCGGCCGCGGGAAGCGGAGGGGAAGGGUGAGGGAGAAGGUGAAGUGGCGGCGGCGGUGCUCGCGGGUCGGGCGCCUUCUCUACAGCGGCAAAGGAGCGGAGCGUAACAGAUAGAAGGAGCGCAGAAGCUGAAAGCAUGGAGACAUAGUUGUUCAGGAUCCUCUUCCCAAAAAGUAUGUGUCUGGCUGUGCCUAAUAAGCUCUUCAGAGGUGAGAUUUGGGGCAGGAAUAAUACCGAUUUGAUAAUUUAUGUGUAAUGUAUACCCUACUGUGAGUUGUACUUUGAAAUCAAGGUAUCAUGGUGUUUUAUUUUGAGGCAUGCUUCAUUUUUAUGUGUUUUCGGGACAGAAAAGUAUAAUCAAGUACAUUAAUGUGACCAGAAGGAAUUGGGUUUGGAUGUAGAGACAUUAGAAAAUAUAAUUCCACUAUUCCUAGCAUAAAAAACACACUGCCAGUACUUUGCCUGCCAGACUAGAAGGAUCUAAGUGGAGAUUGCUCAGGGAUAUCCUGGGCAAGAGGAGUGUGUUUUUAUAAGCAUGUGAGUACUAAGAGAAAUCCGCAGCUGUAGGAACAAGGGAGAUUGGAAGUUAAUACCAACAGCUUUGUUUCAGAGCAGCUUUACAACUUCUGGGAGAGCGUCCUGCUGUUUGGUGAUGAUUGCUGUUUGUGUUUCCAGUAGCAAUAUUAAACUGCCUCAAACUUGUUUUUACAGGGGAAAAACCCUCUUGAAAGAAGAUGGGGCUAAAUUCUACAUGUGAAUUCUAGGAGUAUCUGUGUCUAAACCUGUUAAUUUUUGGUUAGGGUAGGGUGGAUGUGUUUAAUCAUCUGGAAUUGAUGCCUUUUGGGAGCAGUAAUAUUUCUGGAUGUCAAGCAGAGCUAAUAAAAGCUAAUUUUAGGCUAGGUCUUUACUUCGAUUUUUAAACAAAGUUAAAAUUUGAAGCUUUAAUGAGAGCUUCUCUAGUCUAUGUAAUCUUGAUGGAGAGGGGCUGGAACCCAGCUUUCUGUGCCUAAAAUUAGCCUGGACUGCUUCUAUAGAGGCAAAUCCAGUUAGGAUCUCAUUAUGUGCUGCUCCUCUCCUUGGGCUGUCAGUAAGCCUUGAGCUAUUACGGCACUGGUUUUGGUAGUUGAGUGGCUGUGCUGCCCCGUCAGGGAUGGCUCCUCUGCUCUCCAGGCGUUAGCAAGGUUUUUGCAAUGAGUGUCCCUGUGCUGCAGAAGCUGUGGGUAAGUUUUUGAAGUCUGGAAAAUGGAAGUGGAAACUCCAGCUGUAAUUUUGGUGUCCGUGUGAAUGUAAAGCAUUUGAAUGUAUGAAUAAGUCAAUAAAGAGACAUGACUGGC